rnacentral:rRNA from 1 species
CCUACGGGUGGCAGCAGUGGGGAAUAUUGGGCAAUGGGCGCAAGCCUGACCCAGCAACGCCGCGUGCAGGAAGAAGGCUUUCGGGUUGUAAACUUCUUUUGGCAGGGAAGAGUAGAAGACGGUACCUGUCGAAUAAGCCACGGCUAACUACGUGCCAGCAGCCGCGGUAAUACGUAGGUGGCAAGCGUUAUCCGGAUUUACUGGGUGUAAAGGGCGUGUAGCCGGGUUGACAAGUCAGAUGUGAAAUCCCGCGGCUUAACCGCAGAACUGCAUUUGAAACUGUUGGGCUAGAGUACUGGAGAGGUAGGCGGAAUGUCUAGUGUAGCGGUGAAAUGCGUAGAUAUUAGGAGGAACACCAGUGGCGAAGGCGGCCUACUGGACUGCAACUGACGGUGAGGCACGAAAGCGUGGGGAGCAAACAGGAUUAGAUACCCCAGUAGUC